rnacentral:lncRNA from 1 species
AUGCAAACCUUAUGUUAGUAGUAACAUAUACUCUUGCUUUUAAAAACCGUUUUAAAAGCAUAGUGGGAGUAUUAUGUACAACUAAAACAAUCAUAUGGACCAAUAGUUGUAAUAGGACCAAAAUUGUUUUAAUAGAGAUUAAAAUGUAUAUUGAUAUGUGAUGAGACCUAAAACCCUCAACCAAACCAAUAUUAAGUUGAUAAGCGGAGAGUGCUUAGAACACUCUUUCGUGGCCUUCCACCGUGGUAGGCUCCGAUCGUUUGUGACUCGUACACCGGCUUCACCCUAUAAUGGGGGAGUACAAAGUGCGUGCUUACACUCAGGAGGAGUUCUAUAUACAUACAUGAUGAAGUGAGGUAGGCAACGAGUUUAGCCAACAUGAUAUAAUUCUGAGGCUAUGCUUGAACACCUACACGAACUAGGCAUGGUGGGAAUGACUUAACUAAGUACAAUGACGCCAACAUGAUAUAAUUCUGAGGCAUCAUUUUCUAGAGGCCAAACUAGAUGGGUACUUGCAAGAGGUUGUUGCAAAUGAGUAAGCGUACUCUCUCAUUAUUAUUAACGCUAGCCAACAUGAUAUAAUUCUGAGGUGGGCUUGGUAGUAGUGAGUCUCCCAUAACCUACUAAGAGUUUCAUCCAAAACUCUCGAAUUCCAAUGAGGGAUAUGGAAUUUGCCAAAAAUAGUGGGUGGUGCUAUUUUGAUUUAAAGACCCGAAUCAAAUGGCUUAAAAUCAAUCAAUCUAUAUUCGUUAUGUAUUUGUUUACCAAUAUAUUUGCAAACGCUAUCCAACACUUGACAAAUAAAAGCCGAACGUU